rnacentral:rRNA from 1 species
CCUACGGGAGGCAGCAGUGGGGAAUAUUGCACAAUGGGGGAAACCCUGAUGCAGCGACGCCGCGUGAGUGAAGAAGUAUUUCGGUAUGUAAAGCUCUAUCAGCAGGGAAGAAAAUGACGGUACCUGAGUAAGAAGCCCCGGCUAACUACGUGCCAGCAGCCGCGGUAAUACGUAGGGGGCAAGCGUUAUCCGGAUUUACUGGGUGCAAAGGGAGCGUAGACGGCAGCACAAGUCUGGAGUGAAAUGCCGGGGCUUAACCCCUGAACUGCUUUGGAAACUGUGCAGCUAGAGUGCAGGAGAGGUAAGUGGAAUUCCUAGUGUAGCGGUGAAAUGCGUAGAUAUUAGGAGGAACACCAGUGGCGAAGGCGGCUUACUGGACUGUAACUGACGUUGAGGCUCGAAAGCGUGGGGAGCAAACAGGAUUAGAUACCCGAGUAGUC